rnacentral:rRNA from 1 species
UGCUGGAGGUAUCAGAAGUGCGAAUGCUGACAUAAGUAACGAUAAAGCGGGUGAAAAGCCCGCUCGCCGGAAGACCAAGGGUUCCUGUCCAACGUUAAUCGGGGCAGGGUGAGUCGACCCCUAAGGCGAGGCCGAAAGGCGUAGUCGAUGGGAAACGGGUUAAUAUUCCCGUACUUGGUGUUACUGCGAAGGGGGGACGGAGAAGGCUAUGUUGGCCGGGCGACGGUUGUCCCGGUUUAAGCGUGUAGGUGUGUGUUCCAGGUAAAUCCGGUUCACUUUAACACUGAGGCGUGAUGACGAGGCACUACGGUGCUGAAGCAACAAAUGCCCUGCUUCCAGGAAAAGCCUCUAAGCAUCAGGUAACAUCAAAUCGUACCCCAAACCGACACAGGUGGUCAGGUAGAGAAUACCAAGGCGCUUGAGAGAACUCGGGUGAAGGAACUAGGCAAAAUGGUGCCGUAACUUCGGGAGAAGGCACGCUGACAUGUAGGUGAAGUGAUUUACUCAUGGAGCUGAAGUCAGUCGAAGAUACCAGCUGGCUGCAACUGUUUAUUAAAAACACAGCACUGUGCAAACACGAAAGUGGACGUAUACGGUGUGACGCCUGCCCGGUGCCGGAAGGUUAAUUGAUGGGGUCAGCGCAAGCGAAGCUCCUGAUCGAAGCCCCGGUAAACGGCGGCCGUAACUAUAACGGUCCUAAGGUAGCGAAAUUCCUUGUCGGGUAAGUUCCGACCUGCACGAAUGGCGUAAUGAUGGCCAGGCUGUCUCCACCCGAGACUCAGUGAAAUUGAACUCGCUGUGAAGAUGCAGUGUACCCGCGGCAAGACGGAAAGACCCCGUGAACCUUUACUAUAGCUUGACACUGAACAUUGAGCCUUGAUGUGUAGGAUAGGUGGGAGGCUUUGAAGUGUGGACGCCAGUCUGCAUGGAGCCGACCUUGAAAUACCACCCUUUAAUGUUUGAUGUUCUAACGUGGACCCGURAUCCGGGUUGCGGACAGUGUCUGGUGGGUAGUUUGACUGGGGCGGUCUCCUCCUAAAGAGUAACGGAGGAGCACGAAGGUUGGCUAAUCCUGGUCGGACAUCAGGAGGUUAGUGCAAUGGCAUAAGCCAGCUUGACUGCGAGCGUGACGGCGCGAGCAGGUGCGAAAGCAGGUCAUAGUGAUCCGGUGGUUCUGAAUGGAAGGGCCAUCGCUCAA